rnacentral:rRNA from 1 species
GGGUUGUGAGGUUAAGCGACUAAGCGUACACGGUGGAUGCCCUGGCAGUCAGAGGCGAUGAAGGACGUGCUAAUCUGCGAUAAGCGCCGGUAAGGUGAUAUGAACCGUUAUAACCGACGAUUUCCGAAUGGGGAAACCCAGUGUGACUCGUCACACUAUCAUUAACUGAAUCCAUAGGUUAAUGAGGCGAACCGGGGGAACUGAAACAUCUAAGUACCCCGAGGAAAAGAAAUCAACCGAGAUUCCCCCAGUAGCGGCGAGCGAACGGGGAGGAGCCCAGAGCCUGAAUCAGCAUGUGUGUUAGUGGAAGCGUCUGGAAAGGCGCGCGAUACAGGGUGACAGCCCCGUACACAAAAGCGCAUGUGCUGUGAGCUCGAUGAGUAGGGCGGGACACGUGGUAUCCUGUCUGAAUAUGGGGGGACCAUCCUCCAAGGCUAAAUACUCCUGACUGACCGAUAGUGAACCAGUACCGUGAGGGAAAGGCGAAAAGAACCCCGGCGAGGGGAGUGAAAAAGAACCUGAAACCGUGUACGUACAAGCAGUGGGAGCACCUUCGGGUGUGACUGCGUACCUUUUGUAUAAUGGGUCAGCGACUUAUAUUCUGUAGCAAGGUUAACCGAAUAGGGGAGCCGUAGGGAAACCGAGUCUUAACCGGGCGUUAAGUUGCAGGGUAUAGACCCGAAACCCGGUGAUCUAGCCAUGGGCAGGUUGAAGGUUGGGUAACACUAACUGGAGGACCGAACCGACUAAUGUUGAAAAAUUAGCGGAUGACCUGUGGCUGGGGGUGAAAGGCCAAUCAAACCGGGAGAUAGCUGGUUCUCCCCGAAAGCUAUUUAGGUAGCGCCUCGUGAAUUCAUCUCCGGGGGUAGAGCACUGUUUCGGCUAGGGGGCCAUCCCGGCUUACCAACCCGAUGCAAACUGCGAAUACCGGAGAAUGUUAUCACGGGAGACACACGGCGGGUGCUAACGUCCGUCGUGAAGAGGGAAACAACCCAGACCGCCAGCUAAGGUCCCAAAGUCAUGGUUAAGUGGGAAACGAUGUGGGAAGGCUCAGACAGC